rnacentral:pre_miRNA from 1 species
GAUUUCAAUUGAAAAAGUCAUCAACAACAAAGUUGAAUAACUCAUCAAGAUCUAAAACUUUUAUUUUUUUAUUUCUUCAUCUGACGAAAUGUUAGUAAUAUUAUUCACAAAUUUUACAUAUAUGUGUUAUAGUUUAUAAAACCAGAUAAGAGAUAUGUUAAUUUUGUUAACAAUGUUACUAUCACUUUGUCGCAUGAAGAAAUAAAAAAAAUAAAAGUUUUAGAUCUUGAUGAGUUAUUCAACUUUGUUGUUGAUGACUUUUUCAGUUGAUAUC